UUGAAUCGACACGCCAUUUGUAAACAUCGAAGGUCGCGGAGAAAAUGAAACUACCAAAAACAAUUAUUUGAUGAUUUAUUUCGAUUGUAUAAAGAAUGACAGUUAGCAAAUCUCAAGAUCAACCACUGAGGAUUGUUUUGCUUGAUGCAAUGACCUUAAACAGUGAAAUGAUUUUCCAGGAAGGUCUAUACACAACAAGCUGGAUUUUAUGGGGUGAUGAAAGAACUAUGAAUAUGUAAAUGGGAAUGAAACAGAAGGAAUUAAUAUGUUCUACUGAUCAUCCAGCUGAAAUCAUGCCUGUGGAAUAGAGUGCAUGUCACAAAUACUGAUAUGAGCAAAUAACUCCAUAUUGCACAAAUAAUGUCAUGUUUCCUGCCCUCAUGACCUGAAAAAGUUAAAAAUUCUAGUUCAAAUUACAGAUGUGUUUCAAGAAAAAGUAAAACUUAGUCAACUGUGAGAAAUAUUGGGUAAAAGUAGUGUUCUGAUGUCAUGACAGCUGUGAAGUUGUUUGAGAAGCACUAUGCUAAUUGUUCUAACAAUACAGAAUUUAACUUAUAAAUUUUCCAAAACUGCAUGCAUGAAAUACUAAGACAUGUCUGUUGAAUGAAUCCUAGUUGUUUCAAAACUACAACAUGUGUGACAUUAAAACACAACCUUUGGAGGAAACAUUUUUACAAUAAAAACUGCCUUGCCAGUGUGAGUGUAGGAAGGAUUUUUCCAGAAAUGGCAGAAAACUACCAAUAGAGCAGAAAAUAUUUGUUACUGGCUGAAUAUAAUAUAUUUUAUUUCAAGAAUUAAUCAUGUUAAUCCAUGGUUAUAAUUGUGUUAAAAGAUAUUUUUACAUGACAUGACCUUUGCAGAAAUAGCUAAUUUUUUGCAAAACAUUGUGAGUUGCCAUGGUAACACAAAUUUGACUAAAAUUUAGAUUUGUUUGAUUAUGUAAACAGCAUGUGUCUUGUUUAUAUUCUGCUAAUCAGACUAUGUUCUGCAAGAAAAUAUCUUUUAUGUGUAACCAUCAACAAAACAUGUCAUAACACAAAUCUGCCAUAAAAUGGCAGAGCUGUAAUGCAGGUAGGCAUAUCAGGAAAAAAUGUAGUUCUGAAAGACAAGUUAUAUUACAUAAAAUGAUGUUUGUUUUUUAUAAAUGAUCAUAAUUGACCAUUUGUGGUGUAAAACAAAUGUAUACUGAACAGAUGCUAAAUGAAUGUUCUGAUUCUUUCUGGAAAAUUUACAAAAAACUACUAUUUUAAGAAAAUAGUGAAUUGUUGCCAUGGUAACAUUAAUUUAACUUUAAUAUUAAAUUAGUUUGGAUAUCAUCAUAUGUAAACAACAUCUUUCUUGUUUAUAUGUUAUAUAUGUUAAGCUGUAUUAUGUUAGUGAAUAUAUUUUCAUAUGUAAUAAUUGCAUCAACAAAGCACUAUGUUAUUUCACAAGCCUGCCUUAAAAUGGCAAUAGUUGUAACUGAGAGAGGUGUAUCUGAAAAUUAUGUAUUUCUCAAACCAUAUUACAUUAAUUUUCACAGAAUGAUGUCUACUCUCUUACUUUUAGAUAAGAAAACAGAAGCUUUUGAUGUAAAUAUAUGGAAAAACACUUCCAAUAUUCAAUUUAUUACAAAGAAAUUGCCAAAAAUGUUAGUAUUUUUGUAAGAAAAUACCACAUUGUUGCCAUGGUAAUGUUAGUAUUUUUGUAAGAAAAUACCACAUCGUUGCCAUGGUAAUGAUUCACUGAUCAGUAUAAGUCUUUUGAAAUUUUAGCAAACUCACAGUUGAUAAUAACAGUCUAAUAAUUAUAUCUUCUUGCCUGAUUUUCUUUCUUACUGUUUAAUGGAUAAGGUGUCUAUAAUAAUAAGAUUAAUGUCCUAGUUUUUGGGAUGUU